UCGCUCUCCAUUCUUGUUUUAAAAUGGAUGAUCCUUCCCGGAACCGUACAUACAGGUUAACUUGUCAUGGGGUGAAAUGAGGGUCUUUUCCACCAAAAGUGGUGGGCAUGCCUGUUGGAAUGGUAGUUGUUGUGACUGCUUGCCUAAGAAGAUGAUGCAAGUGGAGUAGGACUGAUAGCAAUCCCAGGAGCAAGCUAACAUGAAGGAUGAAGUGCACCAAGCUCAGGGAGAGGUCACAGCCCCAGGACAAAUGGUUACACUUCCCGAGUUGCAACUCACCACCACCUUCUCAAAAGCAUCUAGGAAUGGGCAGUGAAUGCUGGCCUGCUAGCGAC